ACUAAGCGUACACGGUGGAUGCCCUGGCAGUCAGAGGCGAUGAAGGACGUGCUAAUCUGCGAUAAGCGUCGGUAAGGUGAUAUGAACCGUUAUAACCGGCGAUUUCCGAAUGGGGAAACCCAGUGUGAUUCGUCACACUAUCAUUAACUGAAUCCAUAGGUUAAUGAGGCGAACCGGGGGAACUGAAACAUCUAAGUACCCCGAGGAAAAGAAAUCAACCGAGAUUCCCCCAGUAGCGGCGAGCGAACGGGGAGGAGCCC
rnacentral:rRNA from 1 species